CCGCCAUUAGCUCAUCGGGAUAGAGCGCCAGCCUUCGAAGGUGGUUGCGCGGGGUUCGAGUCCUCGAUGGCGGUCCA
rnacentral:tRNA from 1 species